CUAGAACGAGCAUAGAGAACAUACCUGAAGUAGCAAAUAGAUGAGGGUAUCAGUUGCGCAUAUGUGACGACCCGGCCGGUCGUCUUUGGAAUUUAUGUUCCGUUUCCCCAUUAACUACUUCCUCUAAGAUUAUUUCUGCUAUUUUGGUUUGUCGGGAUGUUCGGUAAAAGAAUUCAGAGUGUUUUGGGACACUUAGUCCCUAAAUGAGAGCAUAAAUGUUGGAAAAUGGUCCGUAAUCAGGACAGUGUCAAGAUGACCUCGGAAUGGAAAACCGAUGGUUCCUUAGCUCCAUUAGGUGAUUUUGGGGUUGAGUCGGAAUGCAUUUUGGAUGUCCGUAGCUCAUUUAGGCUAUAAAU
rnacentral:lncRNA from 1 species